rnacentral:rRNA from 1 species
GAUGAACGCUGGCUACAGGCUUAACACAUGCAAGUCGAGGGGAAACGGCAUUGAGUGCUUGCACUGAAUGGACGUCGACCGGCGCACGGGUGAGUAACGCGUAUCCAACCUUCCCGUUACUGCGGGAUAACCUGCCGAAAGGCAGACUAAUACCGCAUGUUCUUCGAUGACGGCAUCAGAUUCGAAGCAAAGAUCCGUCGGUAACGGAGGGGGAUGCGUCUGAUUAGCUAGUUGGCGGGGCGACGGCCCACCAAGGCGACGAUCAGUAGGGGUUCUGAGAGGAAGGUCCCCCACAUUGGAACUGAGACACGGUCCAAACUCCUACGGGAGGCAGCAGUGAGGAAUAUUGGUCAAGGGGCGGAAGCCUGAACCAGCCAAGCAGCGUGCAGGAUGACGGCCCUACGGGUUGUAAACUGCUUUUAUGCGGGGAUAAAGUGAGGGACGCGUCCCUUUUUGCAGGUACCGCAUGAAUAAGGACCGGCUAAUUCCGUG